rnacentral:lncRNA from 1 species
UCGUAUGACAACAUGACUGGUAUGAGUACAUCUAUUGUGGCUCACCAAUUGCCAACCGAUCCGACAUGUCCGCCGGUAAAGCAAAAGCUUAGAAAAUUCAAGCCUGAUAUGAGUCUGAAAAUCAAGGAAGAAGUAACUAAGCAAGUCAAAGAUAAGGUUCUUAGGGUAGUAGAAUAUCUAACCUGGUUAGCCAAUAUCAUGCCGGUACCAAAGAAGGACGGGAAGGUUAGAUUCUAUGUCAACUACCAGGAUCUCAACCGGGCCAGUCCUAAAGACGACUUCCCCUUUGCCAAACAUACACAUCCUGAUCGACAAUUACGCCAAGCAUGAGUUGAAAUCGUUUGUAGAUUGUUUCGCUGGUUAUCAUAAGAUCAGGAUAGAUGAAGAAGAUGCUGAGAAAAUGGCUUUCAUUACGCUGUGGGUAGUGUAUUGUUACAAGAUGAUGCCGUUUGGGUUAAAGAAUGCAGGGGCCCCCUACAUGAGGGCCAUGACUACCAUUUUCCAUGAUAUGAUAUACAAGGAGAUAGAGGUGUACAUAGAUGAUAUUAUUAUCAAGUCCAAGAAAGCCAUUGAUCACACGGAAGACUUGAGAAAGUUUUUCAAUAAAUUGCGAAGGUACAACCUGAAACUAAAUCCUGCAAAAUGUACAUUUGGGGUUCCUGCCGGAAAAUUACUUGGGUUUAUUAUGAGUCGUCGAGGAAUAGAACUGGAUCCAUCAAAGGUCAAAGCUAUUCAAGAGUUGCCACCGCCAAAGAACAAGAAGGAUGUGAUGAGUUUCUUGGGGAGACUCAACUACAUUAGCUAGUUCAUAGCAUAAUCUACAGUUAUCUGUGAGCCAAUUUUUAAGAUGUUAAAGAAGAACACCGCUACCAAAUGGACUGAUGACUGCCAAAAGGCUUUCGAUAGCAUCAAGGAAUACCUGUCAACGCCACCAGUCUUAGUCCCGCCUGAGCCAGGUAGACCCUUAUUACUCUACCUUACCGUAUUGGAUGGAGCGUUCAGUUGUGUUUUGGGGCAGCAUGAUGAAAUGGGGAAAAAGUAGCGGGCCAUCUAUUACCUCAGUAAGAAGUUCACCCCGUACAAGGCCCGGUAUUCUCUAUUAGAGAGCACCUGUUGUUCUUUCACUUGGGUGGCUCAGAAACUGAGGCAUUACUUCUGCGCCUAUACCAUAUAUCUCAUAUCAAGAAUGGACCCUUUGAAGUAUAUCUUUUAGAAGCCCAUGCCCACUAGCAAGCUAGUCAAGUGGCAAAUCCUAUUGAGUGAGUUCGACAUUAUUUACGUGAGUCAGAAAGCAAUCAAGGGAUAGGCAUUGGCAGAUCACCUUGCUGAAAACCCUGUGGAUGGAGAAUACGAACCCCUGAAAACGUAUUUUCCUGACGAAGAGGUAUCAUUCAUAGGAGAAUACAUAGCAAAAUCCUAUGAUGGUUGGAGAAUGUUUUUCGAUGGAGCAGCAAAUUUCAAAAGAGUUGGCAUAGGAACAGUGCUAGUGUCGGAAACCGGUCAACAUUAUCUGGUAUCCGCCAAGCUAAGGUUCCCCUACACCAAGAACAUGGCCGAGUAUGAAGCGUGCAUCCUAGGGCUCAAAAUAGCCAUCGACAUGAACAUUCAAGAUUUGCUAGUGAUAGGGGAUUUAGACUUGCUUAUACAUCAAGUAUGAGAGUAAUGGGCAACCAAGAACUCCAAGAUACUCACGUAUCUGCAUCACGUACAGGAAUUGAGAAAGAGGUUCAUAAAGACGAAAUUCCAACAUGUUCCCAGAAUCCAGAAUAAGUUCGCUGAUACAUUAGCUACCUUAUCACCCAUGAUACAACAUCCAGACAAAAACUUCAUUGAUCCUAUUCCAGUAAAGAUCCAUGAUCAUCCGGCUUAUUGUGCCCACGUCGAAGAAGAAGCAGAUGGAAAGCCUUGGUUUCAUGAUAUCAAGGAGUAUUUGGCAAAAGGAGAAUACCCAGAACUUGCAAAUCCUACUCAGAAGCGCACGCUUUGGAGGUUAUCCAACAACUUCUUUCACAGUGGAGGAAUCCUGUAUAGGAGGACUCCUGAUUUGGGAUUACUAAGGUGUGUUGACGCAAAGGAAGCAUCCAAACUACUAGAAGAAAUUCACGCUGGGACCUAUGGUCCGUAUAUGAACGGUUUUGUCUUAGCAAAGAAGAUACUCCGAGCUGGUUACUUUUGGAUGACUAUGGAUACAAACUGCAUCUAGUAUGUCCGGAAAUGCCAUCACUGCCAAAUACAUGCAUACAUGAUAAAGGUGUCAUCAAAUGAGCUUAAUACAAUAAGCUCACCAUGGUCAUUCGGCGCCUAGGGAAUGAAUGUUAUUGGACCAAUCGAGCAUGCCGCUUCCAACGGGCACAUGUUUAUCCUAGUAGCAAUCGACUAUUUCACCAAAUAGAUCAAGCAACAUCUUACAGAACAGUAACUAAGAAAGUCCUGGCAGAUUUUGUCCGCGACCGCAUUGUUUGUUGAUUCAGAAUUCCAGAGUCAAUCAUUACUAAUAACGGAUCCAACCUCAACAACGACUUGAUUAAAUCUACGUGUGAAACUUUCAAAAUCAGACACAAGAAUUCCACAGCCUACAAGCCUCAAAUGAAUGGAGCUGUAGAAGCCGCCAAUAAUAAUAUCAAGAAGAUAUUGAAGAAAAUGAUAGAGAAGCAUAAGCAGUGGAAUGCAAAUUUAUCAUUUUCUCUAUUGGGUUAUCGCACCACAAUGCGCACAUCAACCGAGGUGACCCCCUAUAUGCUGGUUUACGGUACAGAGGAUGUCAUUCCCGCUGAGGUAGAAAUUCCUUCCCUAAGGAUCAUACAAGAAGCUGAGCUCGACGACGCAGAAUGGGUAAAGAGUCGUUAUGAGCAGCUAGACCUUAUAGAAGGGAAAAGAAUGAAUGUAGUUUUCCAUGGUCAACUCUAUCAGAACAGAAUGUCCAGAGCCUUAAACAAAAGAGUCAAACCAAGGUAGUUCACAUCGGGGUAGCUGGUGUUAAUGAAAAUUGUUCCGCAUCAAGAUGAAGCCAAAGAGAAGUUUUCUCCCAACUGGCAGGGUCCAUACAUGGUUCAUCGGAUUCUAACAGGAGGAGCCCUUAUACUUGCAAAAAUGAACGGAGUAGUCUGGCCAAAACCCAUUGACUCAGAUGCAGUCAAACGUUACUAUGUGUAAUCUUUAUGCUUCCCUUAAAUGAUGUAAAUUGAACUACGCCUGACCUGAUUCCCAUUUAAGAGGGGAUACGUAGGCAGCCUUAUGGGUUCGGUCACAAUUCAAUAAAAUUUUCAUUUCCCCCGAAAUUGGAAACUAGGGCAGAAUUUUGAGGACCCUCAAAAUUCCGAAGCGAUUUUAGUCGAUUGUCGCAAACAACAGUCAGAAGCAUCAACCCAUUAAACUGGGGUAGAAUUUUGAGGAAGACCCUCAAAUUCCGUAGCAAGAGAGGUUGCAAUGUCUUGAACCACUUCACAGUCGCCGGUUCAUCUAAAAAGUUGUUUCUUAAUUAUAUACUUAUGUCAUAUUUUUACAAAAUCAUGCAUGUUUAUUGCUGAAAUUGCCUUGUUUAACAACGCUACCCCAGUGAUACAUAUAGUAUCACCAAAUCAAAGCCGAGAAAGUCAAGCGGAGCCAGUGGGGAUACGAGCUAACCUUUCCCCUUUGCAAAACUCACGAUUUUUCUUUGGAUGCAGGCAUUGAGAUUGCAAAAGCAUUAGACAUACUAUAUACUCACGGCUGAAAGAUCGCUGCCUUAUUUACAUUUGCAUGGCUGAAAGAUCACCACCUUAUCUACAUUCUGCAUAGGCUGAAAGAUCUCUAAAUAUUGCAUGUCAUGGGCUGAAAGAUCGCCAAAUACUGCAUCUCAUGGGCUGAAAGAUCACCAAAUUAUCUGAGGGCAUCAUUGAUCGGAAGCACCAUUUACAUAGCCUGAGAACACCAUGUCAUGGCCUGAGGAUCCCUUUUAGUCUUUUGCAUAUCAUUAUUCAAAGGCAUCAUGGUUCGGAGGCAUCAUCCUCAUAGCCCGAGAGCAUCAUUUCAUGGCAUGUGAAUCCUUCAUUAUAUGCUUCAUGGCCCAGGACAUCAUGGUCUAAGGACUUCAUUCUAACCGUCCAAAGACAAUCCUCAUGGUCCGAUGGGAAAUUACAUCAUUUUUAAAUUUACGCACAAUAUAUGCUUGUAUUAUGUAUUCGCAGGUAAAUUGGCAAGCAACGGCCAUCUCGGAAGGAGUGAUCCCGCUCCAGUUCCGGUAGCCAUAUCAAACCUAAACAUUCCCACAAACCUUGACCAUUUCCCCGUCCUAAAUAUUGCGUCCGUUCUUGAAAAAUCUCCAUCAACAUACUCCAUCGACGGAUUCUAAACUACAUAUGGCCUGAUUCCUAUAAAACUAGGGAUAUGUAGGUAGCUCAGAAAUCAGGGCACGGCCUAAGCCUCGUCGAACCAUUUCGUUCGGUCAAAAUUGGCCAUCAUAUCUUUACCCGACAACUCUUUCAUCCUUCUCGGGUAAAGAGGGGCAGCUGUUGAUACCCAAUUUUUCCCUGUAUAUUGUUAAUAUGCAAAAUACUUUCAAAAUAGCAUAUGUAAACAUAUAUAAGUAUGCCCAAUUAAUUUAUUGUUUUUCCUUAAUUUUUAAAGAUUUUAAAAUUAAUUUAUUGCCAUAUUUUAUCCAGAAAACCCCAAUAAAUUUUCCCAAAGUUAUCAUUUUGGUGAUUCACUUAUUAGAUUCUCAUAUUUAUGCUAAAAAUAUAGAUAAUAUAAUUUUUGCAUAUUUUUUACAAACAUAUUUGGUAUUUUUAAAACUAAAUUGCAUAUAAUUGCAAUAUUAGCCUCUUUUAAGAUUUAAUUAUGUUUAUACUUAUAAAAAUUAAGCACAAUGUUUUUAAAUGGAUAAAUUAUAGAUUAUAAAUAAUUUGUAAGCUUUUAAUUCGUUUUCAGAAAUCAAUUUGCCUUUUUUAAAAUAAAUAAAUAAAUAAAUAAGGGAAAAUUGGCUAUUUAAAAUCUAGCCCAUUUUAUUUCAAAUGUAGCUUGAUUUUGAAUCCCAAAUUAGACCCAAUAUGAAGCCCAAUUACCCUGGCCCAAUCCCCGUUCAUACCGACCCACAACCCACUUAAAUAACCCAACACGGAUCCCCUACCUAACCCUUUCAAUCCCGGCCGUUGAUCAUUUAGAUGAACGACCAAUAUCUGCCCUUUCCUUUUUUAAACCUGAACUAACCCCUAAACCUAAAUCAUUUCUUACCCACCGCUGCCCCUAAAUUCCCUUCUCUCUCAAUUCUCUCUCAAAUCCUCUCAAACCCUAGCCGUCGCCCUCAACUACAACCCUAAUAUCUCCCAAAUCAAUGGCCUCCAAGGUCAUCGGAGACCAGUAUCCACCUCUCAUAGCUUCUACGUAUUCGAUUAUUAUGGUUUCAAGGCUAGAUCUUGAAAGAUCUUGGUCUAGACCUUGGUCGAUUUCAGUUUAUGGCUGUUCUCCGGUCGUCUCUAACCUUUCUCCGGUAAGCCAUGGCUAUUCGAGUCUGACUCUUGACUCUCCUGCUUAGAUCGAUGGUUUUCAAAGCAUUUCUAACCAUUUGGGGUUCUUCUGGAACCCUAACUUUUAAGGUUCUCUCGAUUUCUCUUUGAUCUGUUUCAUAUCUAUGUCUGCUCUGAACUUUUAAGCACUUUUCUCGAUGUUUCUUUUAAAACUCCUCUUUCUAAACUCCUUAUCUUUAUGAUUAAGAUUCUGUUAAACCUUUCUUUGAUUUUUGAUAAGUUUUGUUGUGUUUGCUCGUAUUAUCCUUCUGACUGAGUUUGCAUGUUAAAACCCCUGAUUUCUUUUAACUAUUUAUUAGACGAAUGUUGUUUGCUUGAGUUUUGUCCGAUCUGUUUGUUUAUCCUCUUUUUAAGACUCUUCUAUUGUUGAAAAUCCUAUGGUUUUGGGGUCUGAGACCGUUCAUUUAAGCGCAUGACUCGAUUUAAAGUUCUUUAUUUCGAAAUCUUAUAUCCCCUUUGUGUGAUUCUUCUGAUUACUGGGUUUCUAUCUUCCCUAAAACUCAAAUAUGCUCAAAACCCUAAUUUUUCUAAAGGGUUUUUCCUCACCUGCUACUGUGAGACCUUCGCAUGCUUUUGAUAUUCUAUGUUUUCUUCUCUACUUGACAUACUGGACUGUCAUGCUUCGAAUGUUGCUAUCUACUAAAUCUUUGUGCUACUGUUGUGUGCUAUUUCCUCUUACCAAUAGGCCUAGCCUCGCAUAUAUAAUGUUUAUGCACCCUAUUUAUAUGUUAAGUCUCCUUCUCUGACUAAUUUUCAAACUCAUGACUAAGUUUAAACUUUUCCUUUGUGAGAUUCUGAUUUCACUCACCUGUCAAGGUUAAUUGAUUUCUUUCCUGUUUUGCCUUACUGAAUCCUUUCAAAAAUUAGAGUAUCUCUGUACCUAGACUCGAAUUGCUUACUUGUUAUUUUACUACCUCUUUUGUGGCAACUGUCAGCCUACCUUUUUAAUUGAUUGCUUUCCUUAUUACGAACCUGUCACUGCCUGUUAAGCAAGUGACCCCUUAAUUAAGGGCAAUCACUUUUAUAAUUGAUUCUGAAUCAUGAUUGUUUCCAUGUUUGUAUCUUAUUACCUGUUUUUUUACUUGUUUUCAAAAACUAUAAAUAUCUGGUACUUCUUCUCUUUAAAGGGACGAACACUGUUAGUUCUGAACUCACACUUACACUCAACCUCCAUGUUUCCUCUGUUUGUUGUAUGUUUUGGUUGACUCAUAGGCAUGCCAGCAUCUUCUAUUGCUGUGUAGGCCUAGCCUUUGCUCAAUUACAUAGACUCCUUUCAAUGGAUUCCCAAUCCCCCUGCCGCUCUGGUGUGAAAUUAUCAACUCUUUGAAGUGUUAAUGGCUGUCUCCCGUCACCCUUUUCCACUCCUUUAUUCCCUCAGUUCUUGUAACUCAGUUUCUGCACUUUUCACUAUCUUCUUAGACUCAAGUUCUACCCCUCCCCCCUCAUGUGAGCCUUGCCUUGGGACCCACGAGCUCCCUCUGAACUUGGACACAUGAGGGCUGGUAUUUCCAUACUCCACUUGUCCCUAUUCUGGUUAUGAAACUUGAGUGUGAGCACUGCCCGAGGUCCUAUUGAGGCCCUUAAGGAACUCUGACACAUUCAAGGCUGAGAAAAGCUUUGGAUCAAUGAUAUUUUGAGUUGGUUUAUCUCAUAACUCAGAGAGGAAGUCCAGAAUUAGGCCUCCUCUGGUUGUAGCUUUUCUUUGUACUUUUCUUGAUGUAAUUGAUUAUUCCUGGUUUGUAAUAAUUUGUAUUGAACAUUUAGAGCUGGCUAGUGAAAAGGGUUGGGUAACUAUGCAUGCAAGGGUAGAAAGUAUGCCUAUAGGACUACUUUAAAUUCUGCAUAUUCAAACUACAUUUAGAAACCAUGUCUAUAGGACUGCUCUAAUUCUGCAUAUUCAAACUACAUUUAAAAAUCAUGUCUAUAGGACUACUUUAAAUUCUGCAUAUUCAAACUACAUUAAGAAACCAUGUCUAUAGGACUGCUCUAAUUCUACGUAUUCACGUUACAUUUAGAAACCAUGCCUAUAGGUCUCACUUGUUCAAUUCACAUCUAGAUAACAUGCCUAUAGAGAUUAUCCAAAUUUCUGCACAUUUGUCACCAUUUAGAUAUCAUGUUCUAGGGCCCAAGUGGUUGUAAUCCAGUAACAUGUUAAAAUCAGUAACGUAUAGAAAUCAUACCUAUAGGGAUUUUUAAAUAAUUCUGAUUCGCUUCGUUCACAGUCAAUAUUAGAUAUCAUGUUCAUAGGGAUUAAAAUCAGUAAUAGUAGAUACUAUCACCUACAGAAUCCGUAACCAGUCUUAUCUAAAACUCGCCUAUUCUGAAUCCUUGCCCAAUUCCCUUCUUCUUAACGAGAUCUAGCAAGCAUGCUUAUAGGAUUCCAAGCAGUUCAUUUGAGUUAUCACUGCUUCACCACCUUCUGAAUUAAGUAGAUAUCAUGCCUAUAGGACCCACUCUAAACACUUAGGCAAGCCUUAGAAUAAUAAUUGUAAAACAAAAUCCCUUUUGUUAAUUGCUACAACCAACAGGCAGGCUUGAUUCAGACUUCUUAUCUAAGUUAUGGAAUAAACUAAUCUACCUCAAUAUUUAACUUCCCUUGUCUUUAUGUGCUUUAAUCAGACCCCAAAAAAAGUAUGUGCAAGUCAUGCUAGUUAUGUGCUUUUGUUUGAGGAGGUAUACUUGAGCCUUAUGUGUUAUGUGCUUCCCCUUUAACGUGCAGUCUUCUAUAUGUUUUGUAUGUUGCCUUAGAUUUUUACCUUUGAAACCUCAAGUCAGCCUAAUAUCCCUCCCUUUUAGGAUUAGUAGUCUUAAGUGCCUCCGGGACUGAUAGGAAUGGGACGGGUAACAACAUGCAAUAAGUAAUCAAGACCAAUCCGCGCUUUAAUACCUUAACGAGAUGGGAAGGGUAGAUAUGAAUAUGAUGAUCACGCGAUAAUGUCACGUGUAGCCCCUCAUUGAGGAGUGAUUACCGGACACUGUGUGGGGUGAUCUAUAUUAAAUAUAAACCUAGGACCCCUUUCCUUUAUUUGCAAACUCUUUCUUUUUUAAAACGCUUCUUUCAAAUGUUCUUUCUUUUAUGUGUUUAAAUCCUCUAAUAUUUGAGACCAUAUCUAUCUAUUUGCUAAAUUCACAAUAAUUGUCUGGCCGAGAACCACACUAGUGGACCUUGAGGGGUUCCUAACACCUUCCCCUUGGGAUAAUUUCAAGCCCUUACCCAAUCUCUGGUUAUUCAAAAAAACUCAGAGUUGAAUCUUUAUUGGUGUCCUAAUUCACCUUAAUCAUUAGGUGGCGACUCUUCAAAUGCAAACCCAAUUCUCAAAAGGAACGACAUGUCCCUCCAAAUGUCAUAAACCCGAUUUCGCAAGAAAAAGGGGGCGCGACAAUAACAAGGAACUCAUAAUGAUCGUAUCUGGUCCUAAAGGCUGUUUUAAGAAUAUCUGAGUCCAUGAUCUUCAACUGGUGAUAACCUGAACGGAGAUCAAUCUUGGAGAACACUCUUGCUCCCUGAAGUUGGUCGAAUAAAUCAUCAAUGUGAGGCAAAGAAUACUUGUUCUUAAAUGUUACUUUGUUCAAUUGCCUAUAAUCAAUGCACAUCCUCAUAGUUCCAUCCUUCUUCUUCAUAAUAAACCGGCGCANNNNNNNNNNNNNNNNNNNNNNNNNNNNNNNNNNNNNNNNNNNNNNNNNNNNNNNNNNNNNNNNNNNNNNNNNNNNNNNNNNNNNNNNNNNNNNNNNNNNNNNNNNNNNNNNNNNNNNNNNNNNNNNNNNNNNNNNNNNNNNNNNNNNNNNNNNNNNNNNNNNNNNNNNNNNNNNNNNNNNNNNNNNNNNNNNNNNNNNNNNNNNNNNNNNNNNNNNNNNNNNNNNNNNNNNNNNNNNNNNNNNNNNNNNNNNNNNNNNNNNNNNNNNNNNNNNNNNNNNNNNNNNNNNNNNNNNNNNNNNNNNNNNNNNNNNNNNNNNNNNNNNNNNNNNNNNNNNNNNNNNNNNNNNNNNNNNNNNNNNNNNNNNNNNNNNNNNNNNNNNNNNNNNNNNNNNNNNNNNNNNNNNNNNNNNNNNNNNNNNNNNNNNNNNNNNNNNNNNNNNNNNNNNNNNNNNNNNNNNNNNNNNNNNNNNNNNNNNNNNNNNNNNNNNNNNNNNNNNNNNNNNNNNNNNNNNNNNNNNNNNNNNNNNNNNNNNNNNNNNNNNNNNNNNNNNNNNNNNNNNNNNNNNNNNNNNNNNNNNNNNNNNNNNNNNNNNNNNNNNNNNNNNNNNNNNCCCUAUCCAGUGGCAUGCCCGUCAGGUCUGCAGGAAACACAUCGGGAAAAUCCCUCACAGCUGGAACCGAAUUAAUACUAGGAGUCUCUACAUCGACAUCCCUCACAAAGGCUAGAUACAAAAGACAGCCCUUCCCAACCAUAUGCUAGGCCUUCAAGAAUGACAAUACCCUAUUGGUAACAUAAUCAGUCAAACCUCGCCACUCAAUUUGUGGCACACUCAGUAUAGCCAAUGUCAUUGUCUUGGCAUGACAGUCCAGAAUAGCACGGCAUAGAGAUAGCCAAUCCAUGCCUAUAAUAACAUUGAAAUCCACCAUACAUAACAAUAAGAGAUUCACUCGGGUCUCUAGACCCCCAAUAGUCAUCACACACGAUCGGUACACGCGGUUUACAAUAACAGUAUCACCCACAACAGUAGAUACAUGAACAACUGAAACAAGAGACUCACGGGGCAUAUCCAAAUAAUGAGCAAAGUAUGAUGACACAUAAGAAAAGGUGGAACCGAGAUCAAAUAAUACAAAGGCAUCUCUUUGGCAGACUGAAACAAUACCUGUAAUAAUAGCAUCGGAAGCAAUAUCAUCGGGUCUAGCUGGAAGUGCAUAGAAACGGGCCAAACCGCCACCUGAUCGACCUCCCUCUCUGGGGUGACCCCUAGUUGACUGACCUCCAACCCUAGCUGGCUGGGUGGUGAUGAAGUGACCGAAGCUGAAUCUGAUGGCUAACUCCUCUGCUGAGAUAAACCUGCAAGACGACGAGGACACUUCCUCCACAUAUGGCCCAUCUAUCCACACUCAUAGAAACUCCCGAGUGCUAGAGACGGGGACUGAAGGGAACCCCUAGCACCGGAAUGACUAGCAGAUGCACCUGGUAUAGAAGAGCCCUGAACUGAUGGAGUACGGGACGAACUCUGAGCUGGAAGGGCAUUAAGUGAUUACUGGACCUGAUGAGAACUGUGAGAACCAUGAUCCGAUGACGCCCCACGAUGACCUGGGCGAGCUGGUUGAGCAUGCCUAAAUGGACAACCUCUGCCGUGCUGAAGCUGACCUCUCGAAGGAGCACCACAUAACUACCAUAUUCUCAAGGCCUUUGGCCUCCCUCUCAUCUUGAUCCUGGAGACGAACUAACUCAAUCUCAUGAGCAAUGUCUAUAACCUCCUCAAAAGUAGCACCAGUCACCCUCUCUAUGGUCAUGAAAAUACGAAGCUAAUAUGUGAGGCCAUCAAGAAACCUCUUGAUCCUCUCUCUAUCUGUCGGAACCAACCAAAUAGCAUGACGAUCUAACUCUGAGAACCUCAUCUCAUACUGCGACACAGUCAUCUCUCCCUAACGCAACCACUCAAACUGCAUGCGCAGCUCCUCUCUACAAGACUGUGACACAUACUUCUCCAAAAAGAGAAUAGAGAACUGCUGCCAGGUAAGGGGUGCUACACCAACAGGCCUACGCCUCAAAAAAUCCUCCCACCAAGUGAAGGCAGCUCCAGAAAACUGAAAGGUAGUGAAAGCGACCUCGCUGGUCUCUAGAAUACCCGUUGUGCGAAGAAUCCGCUAACACUUGUCUAAAAACCCUGGGCAUCCUUGCCCUCUGCACCACUGAAGGUCAGAGGCUGAAGUCUACCAAACCUCUCCAACCUACGCGACUCGUUCUCUGGCAUGGCAGGAGCUACAUAGUCCAGAGCAGCUGCAACCGGCUGGGCCGGAUAUGCCCCCGGUAUCUAAAGUCCCUGCACGACCUGCUCAGGUGUGCGACCCCCGGCCUGAGAAGUAGCUGCGUCUGAAGUAACUGACACUGCCUGAUCUAGGCCAGUGGAAAUUGGUGCCUGAGCUGGUGCUACUGGAGCGUCCACAGCUGGGACCUGAUCCUGAACUAGAGUGGCUGGUGGAUCUGCAGGUGCUGCCCUAGCUAUUGUGCGGGCCACAUCCCUAAACCUACCGCAACCACGACCGCGUCCUUGGCCUCUAGUGGUCACAAAAGUUUAGUACUCGGAUCAACAAACUCACACGACAAGAAUUUCAAGAAUAUGAAGUUUUUCCUAAAGGUUCGGCAGCCUCUCAAGGAUAAAUACAUAUAUCUCUGUACCGAUCUGCGAGACUCUACUAAACCUGCUCAUAACUCGUGAGACCUAUGUAACCUGGGCUCUGAUACCAACUUGUCACCACCCUAAACCCGGACCCGGUCGUGAUGGCGCCUCUACUGAAGACAAGGCCAGCCAACACACUCCCAAUUCAUUUCUAAAGCAAUUAAAUAAUAGAACUAAAUCUUAAUCAUAGCAAUAAAUCCCAAAAUAAGGUAAAUAAUAUAUUGUGCGGAAGGAGAAAAACAUAGCCCGACAUCGGGGUGUCACCAGUCAUGAGCAUCUAUAAAGUACUACAAGUCUAAAAGAGUCUACUCCACUAAUACAUGACUAAAACAGAAAGAAAUAAGAUAGAGGGAGACGCACUGGUCUACGAAUCGCCGGGCAGCUACCUAGUGUAUCUUCGGAAUCUGCUGGACAACUCUCAACCCUCGCAAGCAGGACCUGAUAUGCCUGAAUCUGCACACGGGGUGCAUGGAGUAAAGUGAGUACUCCAACUCAGUGAGUAAUAAUAAUAAAUACAGACUGAGUAAUAAGAAAUCACGUAAAGGCACUUCAACAAGCUAUAAAGAAGCAGUAAAAGCCAGUAAAAGCAAUGAAAUAGUGAAAAUAUGUAAAGUCACUUAAGUUCAAAUUAAACUUUUUGAAAUGCCUUUUUAAUAAUUAAGCAAGUAAAUGACAGGCAACUAGGAAAGAUAAACACAUAAAGAACCACCUCUUGGGCACAAUACCAACAGAAACAGCCCCUCAGGAAACACAUGGAACAACAUCAUCCCAUCAUGCUAUAUCUCAAAUCACAAUGGGUACCCACGCUCACUGGGGUGUGCAGACUUCUAGAGGGGCCUCUUAUGGCCCAAGCGCAAUAUCAAGUCAUCUCGUGGCAUAAUCAAUAGUCUCUCGGCCACAUAUCAAGCCACCUCGUGCUGUACAACUCAGGUCCUCGGCCUCAUAAUCAUAAUCAGUGUAUCCUCACAACACAGACGCUCGGUCUUACUCAGUCAAAAUCUCAUAAGCCACUCGAGCAACAGUAAAACAUGAUGCUCAACCCAAUUUAUUAUUUAAAAUAUCAUUUAAUGAUUAAAACAGAGUAAACAUGGAUGAGUUAUGAAAACAAUAGAAUAUAGCAUGACUUAGUACAAGUAUAAAGUCAAAACAGUGAGGAAAUAUCAGUAAAAAUACCCUAAGGUUCCAAAUAGUUGGCACGAGACCCAAAUAUGGUGUUCAACCCAAAACAUGAUAGCAAAUAGUUUUCAAUUAAAUACGCGGUAAAAAAGUCAUUCGGGGCGGACUAAGUCACAAUCCCCAACGGUGCACGACCCCACGCUCGUUAUCUAACGUGUGCGUUUCCUCAAUAUAGCACCACGAUGUGUAAUUCGGGGUUUCAUACCCUCAGAACAAUAUUUAAAAUCAUUACUCACCUCAAUCCGGUCCGAACUAUAGCCCGCGACGCCUUUGCCCCUCGAAUCGGCCUCAACUCACGUCGAAUCUAUCCAAAAUCAGAAUCACCACGUCAAAAUAUGCUAGGGGAACAAAGCCCAUGCGAAAAUAAUCAAAUUACAACAUAAAUCCCAAAAUUAUCCAAAACCCGACCCCUUGGCCCACGUCUCGAAAUUUGAUAAAUUUUAAAUCAAUAGAUUCCUUAUCUCCCCACGAGUUCAUACAUAUCAAAAGUCCCAAAAUCCGACCACAAACGGCCCCUCAAAUCCUCAAGUCUAGGUCUCCAAUACCAAACCCUAGUUUCAUCAAUUUUAGCCCUUAAUUCCCACUAAUACCAUGAUUAAACAAUAAAAAAAUGAUCAUAAACCCAAAUAAUGAAGCUUAGGGAACUUACACAACUGAUUCCCUUCGAUUUUUCUUUGAUUUCUCUGCCCUAGAUCGUUUCCCGACUUCAAAAGAUGAAGAACUUAGCAAAAUUUCGCGAAGGAAACAUUUUAUACCUUCUAGCCCAGGGAUUCCGCACCUGCGGCCCUUUAACCGCUUUUGCGGUCAAUGGACCGCUUCUGCGGUCAUCACUUAAAUUCUCCACUUUCGCAUCUGCGAUGCCCAAUCCGCACAUGCGACAUCGCAGGUGCGGUUUCUGCCUUCCCACACCCUCUCCACUUCUGCGAUUCAAAUCUCGCUUCUGCAAGACCGCACCUGCGGUCCCCUAGCCGCAGGUGCGGUUAUGACACCAAUGAGAAACUUCAGCUGUCACAACCAACUCCAAAUCUUUCCACCAACCAUACGAAAUCACUCUGAGGUCCCCGGGACCUCAACCAAUAACACAAACACAUCAUAUACAACCAUCCAAACUUAUACCAAUCUUCAAAACUCUCAAACGGCAUCGAAUCAACCAAAACACAUCGGAUUCAAACUUAAGUUUCUAAAAUCUUCUGAAUUACGCUUUUGAUUAAAAAGUAUACCAAACCACGUCCGAAUGACCUUAAACUUUGCACACACAUCCCAAAUAACACAACGAACCUACUGGAACUUCCAGAAUUCCAUUUCGAGCCAUAUAUCAAAAUCUCACAUAUCAAUCGGAAAACGCCAAAAUUCCAACUUCGCCAAUUCAAGGCUAAAUCUACUCCGAACCUCCAAAACUCAUUCCGGUCACGCUCCUAAGUCCCAAACCACCUCCCGAAGCUAUCUGAACCAUCGAAACUCGUAUCUGAGCCCUCUAACACAUAAGUCAACAUCCAGUUGAUUUUUCCAACUUAAGCUUCCUCAAAAGAGACUAAGUGUCUCAAACCUUACCAAAACCUCUCUGAACCCGAGCCAACUAACCUGAUAACACAAAAUACAACUGAACAAGGCAAUAAGAAGCAGAAAUGGAAGAAACGGAGCGGUAACUCAUGAGACGACUGACCGGGUCGUCACAUUUAAAAAAUUUAUUUUGAAGAUUUCUUGUUUUGAUUCAAAGUGAGUGUUAUUAAAUAUUGUUUAUAGUACAUUCUGGAAGUUCAUAAUGAAAUAUUAUCACAUUUGGAGUUGAUUUGAGGUGAUUGGGAUCAAAUUUUUCACUGAAAGUCAAAGAACAUAGUUACCCAAUAGU